UACGAAGGGGGCUAGCGUUGUUCGGAAUCACUGGGCGUAAAGCGCACGUAGGCGGAUUGUUAAGUCAGGGGUGAAAUCCUGGAGCUCAACUCCAGAACUGCCUUUGAUACUGGCGAUCUUGAGUCCGGGAGAGGUGAGUGGAACUGCGAGUGUAGAGGUGAAAUUCGUAGAUAUUCGCAAGAACACCAGUGGCGAAGGCGGCUCACUGGCCCGGUACUGACGCUGAGGUGGCGAAAGCGUGGGGAG
rnacentral:rRNA from 1 species